UACGGGGGGGGCAAGCGUUGUUCGGAAUUACUGGGCGUAAAGGGCUCGUAGGCGGCCAACUAAGUCAGACGUGAAAUCCCUCGGCUUAACCGGGGAACUGCCUCUGAUACUGGAUGGCUUGAGAUUGGGAGAGGGAUGCGGAAUUCCAGGUGUAGCGGUGAAAUGCGUAGAUAUCUGGAGGAACACCGGUGGCGAAGGCGGCAUCCUGGACCGGUAUUGACGCUGAGGCGCGAAAGCCAGGGGAGCAAACGGG
rnacentral:rRNA from 1 species